GCAUGCCAGGUUGCCAUGCUGCACAGCUCCAAGAAGCACCACUGUCCAUGUGGUCAACAUGGAUGGAUCCCUGAGGAGGUGUCCAGCAGCAGCCUGCAUGCCAUGCGUGGCUCUGAAGUCAAUAAUCCUGGAAAAAGGGUCAUUCCUUCCCAAUAAACGACAGUGGGCUAUCUCCCGCAGACACCCACGAAAUUUCCCUCCUUUUCCUUCCAUGGAGGACUGGUGAAAACGUCAUCAUGGACCUGACCUGCAUCUGGAGACCAUCCCUCAGAGGUGCUGCAGAGCUCCUUUCUGCCCAGGCAUUUACGGUGGGUGAGAACUUGGAGAGGCGAGCUCACGAGGGAGUUGGGGUUUUGACUUGGCCAUGACUACUCAGCUCAGGAUGAAAGCUGAUACUUUCUGAGUGCAUUCUUUGAUUAACCCUUCAAUCCUCACAAUCACCCCAUGUCACCAGGAGGAAACUGAGGCAAAGUCCACACAACUGGCAAAUCUGGUAUGACUCUCUUUCUGUCACAGCAGUUUGCUGGCAACAGACCUACAGCCAGAUGCUCAGGAGCCGGCGCAGGCGUAGGAGCCUCCAGCGGCGCAGGAGCAGUUGGGGUCCAUUGCAAGCCGAGGUGAGACCGGCGUUCCCAAGCGAGAAGAGAAGAGGCAGUGGAACACGUGGAGGGCGUCGUGGAUUGAUUCAAACUUUAAACAGGAAGGAGAUUCUGACACCUGCUACAACAUGGAUGGACUUUGAAGACAUUAUGCUGAGUGAAAUAGGCCAGUCACAAAAAGGCAAAUACAGGCCAGGCAUGGUGGC
rnacentral:lncRNA from 1 species